UACGUAGGGGGCAAGCGUUAUCCGGAAUUACUGGGUGUAAAGGGUGAGUAGGCGGCAUGGUAAGCCAGAUGUGAAAGCCUUGGGCUUAACCCGAGGAUUGCAUUUGGAACUAUCAAGCUAGAGUACAGGAGAGGAAAGCGGAAUUCCUAGUGUAGCGGUGAAAUGCGUAGAUAUUAGGAAGAACUCCGAUUGCGAAGGCAGCUCACUGGACUGCAACUGACACUGAGGCUCGAAAGUGUGGGUAUCAAACAGG
rnacentral:rRNA from 1 species